AUACGUAGGGGGCUAGCGUUGUCCGGAUUUACUGGGUGUAAAGGGCGCGUAGGCGGAUUAGUAAGUCAGUGGUUAAAGCGUGCGGCUUAACUGCAUUGAUGCCAUUGAUACUAUUAGUCUAGAGUUCAGUAGGGAGAGUUGGAAUUCCUGGUGUAGUAGUGAAAUACGCAGAUAUCAGGAAGAAUACCGGAGGCGAAGGCGAGCUCUUGGGCUGAUACUGACGCUGAGGCGCGAAAGUGUGGGGAUCAAACAGGAUUAGAUACCCUGGUAGUCCACACUGUAAACGAUGAUGACUCGAUGUCGGGCUGUAAAGCUCGGUGUCUAAGCAAACGCGAUAAGUCAUCCACCUGGGGAGUACGAUCGCAAGGUUGAA
rnacentral:rRNA from 1 species